UGCGUAGGCAGCAAGCGUUGUUCGGAAUUACUGGGCGUAAAGAGUGUGUAGGUGGUGUCGUAAGUUUGGUGUGAAAUCUCCCGGCUUAACUGGGAGGGUGCGCCGAAGACUGCGAUGCUGGAGUAUGGGAGAGGAAAGCGGAAUUCCUGGUGUAGCGGUGAAAUGCGUAGAUAUCAGGAGGAACACCGGUGGCGAAGGCGGCUUCCUGGACCGACACUGACGCUGAGGCGCGAAAGCCAGGGGAGCAAACGGG
rnacentral:rRNA from 1 species